rnacentral:rRNA from 1 species
UCUGAGAGUUUGAUCCUGGCUCAGGAUCAAAGCUGGCUACCUUGUUAAUACUUGCAAGUCGAGCGGACAGAUGCUACCUUGCUCCCUGAUGUUAGCGGCACAUCGCCGACUUCCACGUGGAUAACCUGCCUGGAAGACUGGGAUAACUCCGGGAAACCGGGGCUAAUACCGGAUGGUUGUCUGAUGAUCAUGGUUUACAAGCGAAGGUGGCUUCGGCUACCACUUUGGAUGGACCCGCGGCGCUGAGAUAGAUGUGGAGGUAUUGGCUUACCUCGCGACUAUGCUGCCCUUAUCUCUGAGGUUGAUCGGCGUGCUGGGACUGAUCACGGCCCAGACUCCUAUUUGAGGUCGCCCACCUUCCUUCCGUUUGGCACGAAAGUCUGACUUAGAAUGGCCGCGUGAAUGAUGAAGGUUUUCAUAUCGGAUUGCUCUGGUGGCAGGAAUUAACCCGUGAUCUUCCGAUACGAGGUGACCUUGACCGUGCAUAACCUGACAGUCUGGGCUAAAUACGUGCCUCCUAUCUCGAGAAUUGUCAGAUGAUGUGCGGAGCUGGGAAGGAUUGUCGCUAUGCUUCUCAUUAGCGCACUCGUACCACCGAUUGUGCGGGCCCCGGUCAUCGUGGAGGUUCAUGGAACGGCGACUGACUGCAGAAGAGAGAGUGAUACACAGCAGCGUGGGAUGCGAGAGAUGUGAGUACACAGUGCGUAGGGACUGUCUGUAGGAAUGACUCGAGUAGCGAAACGGGGGAGCGAACAGGAUUCAUACCAGGUAGACACGCCGUAAGCGAUGAGUGCUAAUGUUAGGGGGUUUGCGUUCAUUAGUGCACAGGAAUUGCACUAAGCUCUUCGGCUGGGGAGUUCGGCAGCAAGCAAUAACUCAAAGGAAUUGAGCGGGGGGCCGCACAAUCGGUGGAGCGAAUGGUCUAAUUCGAAGCAACGCGAAGAACCUUCCCAGGUCUUGACAUCAUCUGACAAUCCUAGAGAUAGGACGCACGUUCGAGGGCAGAGUGUCAGGUUAGGCAUGGUCAAGGUCAGCUCGUGUCGUGAGAUCAUGGGUUAAGUCCUGCCACGAGAGCAAUCCGAUAUGAUAGUCGUCAUCAUUCAGUUGGGCACUCUAAGUCGGCCGCCGGUGCCAAACCGGAGGAAGGUGGGGAUGACGUCAAAUCAUCUUGCCCCUUAUGAUCUGGGCCCACACGCCGAUCAAUGGACAGAACAAAGGGCAGCGAAGUCGCGAGGUUAAGCCAAUCCCACAAAUCUGUUCUCAGUUCGGAUGGCAGUCUGCAACUCGGUAGCGUGAAGCUGGAAUCGCUUGUAAUCCAUGAUCAUCAGACCGCCGUGAAUUAUUCCCCCGCUUUGUACACACCAUCCCACUCACCCCGACAGUUUGUAACACCCGAAGUCGCCGAUGUAACCUUAACAUCCCAAGCAACGAAGGUGGGACAGAUGAUUGGGGUGAAGUCGUAACAAGGUAGCCAUAUCUGAAGGUGCGGCAGGAUCACCUCCUCA